rnacentral:rRNA from 1 species
CUAUACAUGCAAGUCGAACGCUUCUUUCCUCCCGAGUGCUUGCACUCAAUUGGAAAGAGGAGUGGCGGACGGGUGAGUAACACGUGGGUAACCUACCCAUCAGAGGGGGAUAACACUUGGAAACAGGUGCUAAUACCGCAUAACAGUUUAUGCCGCAUGGCAUAAGAGUGAAAGGCGCUUUCGGGUGUCGCUGAUGGAUGGACCCGCGGUGCAUUAGCUAGUUGGUGAGGUAACGGCUCACCAAGGCCACGAUGCAUAGCCGACCUGAGAGGGUGAUCGGCCACACUGGGACUGAGACACGGCCCAGACUCCUACGGGAGGCAGCAGUAGGGAAUCUUCGGCAAUGGACGAAAGUCUGACCGAGCAACGCCGCGUGAGUGAAGAAGGUUUUCGGAUCGUAAAACUCUGUUGUUAGAGAAGAACAAGGACGUUAGUAACUGAACGUCCCCUGACGGUAUCUAACCAGAAAGCCACGGCUAACUACGUGCCAGCAGCCGCGGUAAUACGUAGGUGGCAAGCGUUGUCCGGAUUUAUUGGGCGUAAAGCGAGCGCAGGCGGUUUCUUAAGUCUGAUGUGAAAGCCCCCGGCUCAA